rnacentral:rRNA from 1 species
GAUAAACGCUGGCGGCGUGCUUAACACAUGCAAGUCGAACGAAGUUUUUCCUCGGGGGAACCUUAGUGGCGGACGGGUGAGUAACGCGUGGGUAACCUGCCCUGUACAGGGGGACAACAGCUGGGAACGGCUGCUAAUACCGCAUAAGCAAUUAGCACUGCCUGGUGCAUAGGGAAAAGGAGCAAACCGGUACAGGAUGGACCCGCGUCGGAUUAGCCAGUUGGCAGGGUAACGGCCUACCAAAGCGACGAUCAGGAGCCGAUCUGAGAGGAUGUACGGCCAACUUGGGACUGGGACACGGCCCAGACUCCUACGGGGGGCAGAAGGGGGGAAAUUUGCAAAAUGGAGGAAACUCUGAUGCAGCGACGCCGGGGGAGUGAAGAAGUAUUUCGGUAUGUAAAGCUCUAUCCGCAGGGAAGAAAAUGACGGUACCUGACUAAGAAGCCCCGGCUAAAUACGU